GGAUAGUAUUUUUGUGUCUCGUCUCUUUCCUUCUGUACUCCUGAACUAGUACUGGUGUGUACCUGUCUUUCUUCAUCAUCAUCUUUGUUCCCCUGAAAUCUCUCUCCUCCAUUUUCGCCUUUCGCAGGCGCCAUCAGUUCCCUCACCGACACAGGCUUUUAGAUCUGUUGCGUAAAACCGGAAAAAAAAUGAACAGAUGCGCUUAUCAGCAAACGGCCUUGAUGGGUUUUGUUGGAGUUGAAGAAAUUAGACGGGGAGAUAUCUCUGUCUCUGAUGGUCUUGUUUUCCCCAUACCUCGCCGGAAUGGGCUUUUCAACGAACCCAUCAGACCUUCUCGAUUCCUCCAAAUCAAUAAUCAGCAAACGGAGGGUUACGAUUUGAAAGCCGGAACUGAACUUCUGGAUAUCAUCCUCGCCAAGGGGAGCUAUGAUAUGGAGACAACCAAUUUUGAGAUGGCUUCAUCUCCACCAUUCGUUUUUGGGUCUCCGCCCACCAGGGCUUCGAAUCCCCUGAUUCAGGAUGCCCAAUUUGGCAAUGACAAUUUUGUUCCUAUACUAGCAAUUCCAGAAGGAGCACCUUCACCACCAUCCUCCUUUACUUCCACUUGUGCUCGUAAUAAUGGAGGCGGCUGCGUUCCAGUGAAGUUUGGGAUCAAGCCAGCUGCUGUGAGGAUUGAAGGCUUCAACUGCUGCAGUAGCAUCUCUGCUGUAGCUUAGGAAGCGCGUGUAAUGAACCUUGCUUCUAUCCAGCUUUGUUUAUCAACGAUGUAGUUAGAGUAUUAUUUUUUUCGCAUAUCUUAAUGAAAGAAAAGGUGCGUUUUUGCAUUAUUAUUGGCAUUACUAUGUGCAUGUGAUUCUGCUCGAGGAUUUUAAACUUAUCCUAUAGCUAUCACUGACUUGAGCCGUGGAAUUCCUAGGUCAGUGAUCUUCUUUAUUUAGUUCAGAUAACGCAUGUUUGUAUAAAUUGAUGUUCUUUUAAAUACAAAGUCUGUCGUUUUGAGGAACGACUGUAAAGUUAGUUUCAGUUGAACCCAUUUUCAUACCAUAGGAAACAAGAUUAUGUAGUCUUGGCAUAGUAAAGAAAUGGACUUCAUAUUUUCAUUUUCAGCAGUUAUGUAAAUCACACCGGCUCUCUUUUGAUAAUAUAAAUCAAAAUGCAACACUUAAUACUUUUUGAUAAUUGAGUCCUCCAAAAAAAUAAAAAAUAGUCAGGUCCAUAGAGACCAAAGAGGAGGGCUUAACUGUAGAGACAGAAUUUCAAAUUGUUUCCAUUAUAAGUGCGAGUAUAACCAGAAACCCUUAUCAGUUUGUCGUUAUUCUUUCCCUGAUUGCAUCAUUAGAUAAGUUAGUUAAUAGUUGUAGUAUAACCAGAAACGUUUAUCAGUUUGUCGUUAUACUUUCCCUGAUUGCAUCAUUAGAUAAGUUAGUUAAUAUUUGUAGUAUAACCAGAAACCUUUAUCAGUUUGUCAUCAUUCUCUCCCAGAUUGCAUCAGUAGAUAAGUUAGUUAAUAGUUGUGGAGGAGAGAUACCCUUUUUAAUUAGAUGCAGAACAUGUUUAAACAACUAAAACUUCUGAAUAGGCAACCCUUUAAAUUAUGUAACUUUGCACGUUCCUAAGGACUGUUACAAUAUAUGCCUAUCAAUCAAUGGGAUGCAAUAAAUGUAAAAGAUUUUAUGUCCCGCAACUUAAAACUUCUAAAGGAUUUUAUAUUUCAUUUGCCCCCUCUAGUGUCCUCUUUCCCCUCUUUUGAGUUUGUUUAUCGAAAUAUUGUUUUGCUAGAUUAGUUAUUGAGGAAUUAAGUGAAUUGAGCUUUGUACUUGGUGUUUUCUGUCACAUUUUACAUUCAUACAGCUUAAAGACUGGUCACUCAGAUUUUCCAAGAUAAUGCAUCAUGCCAAUUUGACCUAAUGUCUUGGAUCUAUUGGAGGCAGUGUAUGGUCCUUGGAGUUGCUAAGCCGUCUAUUGUGGAUCCAGCUGUAUCAAAGAUGCCGUGGGUGCUGAAAUUGUGCAGUCACAUUGUUGGCACUUUUAUGUGCCUCCUAUUGAUAAAGUGCAGACUUUCAGGUCCAAAGUUUAUAAAGCUGAAUCAUUGAACAUGGGAUGCUGGGGCAUUAUUUACAUAUGAUAAGAUGAACUUCUACAAUCUGGAGUUGAACAAUACUAAUGUAAGCUGAAUCAUUGAACAUGGGAUGCUGGGGCAUUAUUUACAUAUGAUAAGAUGAACUUCUACAAUCUGGAGUUGAACAAUACUAAUGUGGUUGAUCACUCAACAUAGUACUUACUUCAUCGAGAAGAAUGAUAUGGUUUUUCGUACCAGAUGACUAAGGAAAAUCGCUCCAAGCAAAGUGUUGUUUUAUAAUCCAGAAACACCCGAGGAGUAGUUACUCGGUUGAUGAUGGACCCUCUUCUACCUUCUUCACUUAAACACCAAGCUUUUGUCUGUGGCAGGAUUCGAACUGCUCCAACCAAAAGCAUUUCAAGUUUGUAUGCUGUUUCGAGCACUACCAUAUAUAGGCUAUCAUUGCUGUUUGGCUUUUGUUUGUGCUGUUAACUACUAUAAAUACAUCGUUUACCUUACACUUGGCUUACAUCGUGUAAUUGCUUUAUAAUUGUAAUGAUUUGGUAGCUGGAAUCUCUACUUGAAAUUCAACAUGCUUUGGUUUAAAUCCAAAACUUAGAAAUCAAAGUUAACUUUAUCCUA